CCGAAUGGGGCAACCCAGCAUGUUGAAGACAUGUUACCCGCAAGGGGGCAAACCUGGUGAACUGAAACAUCUAAGUAACCAGAGGAAGAGAAAACAAAAGUGAUUCCGUUAGUAGUGGCGAGCGAACGCGGAUUAGCCCAAACCAAUGUUGUUACGGCAAUAUUGGGGUUGUAGGGCCACAAUAUUCGAAGCUACGUGAAAUAGAACUGUUUGGAAAGACAGACCAAAGAGGGUGAUAGUCCCGUAUAUGUAAGCAAAGUUAAGAUAGUGGUACCCUGAGUAGUGCGGGACACGAGUAAUCCUGUAUGAAUCCACCGGGACCAUCCGGUAAGGCUAAAUACUCCGAAAGACC
rnacentral:rRNA from 1 species